rnacentral:lncRNA from 1 species
CACUGGGGUAGCUGUUGCCAGGGACGGCUGAACACUAUCACAAGCAGGAGACAACGAGGGCUCUCUCCAGCUCUGCGGGACAGAAGAGCAGCCAGGGACAGGGGUGCUGACCCGGCAGUUCCAGGUCUUAGUCAUUUCCACGCCCCAGCAGAAUGGCCCGCAGCACCCCCAACCUUCUGGGACUUGGACGAGCUUGGAGGAAUCCACGAGCAUUAGGGAGCCCUGGAGGAGGGGUGAAGGUUCAGGAAAGCAGCCAGGACCCAGCCGCGUCUGCCGGCCGGUACCCAGCGAGCCAGUCCAUCCGACACGCGUGGCACAGACACCGUCGUGGGUGAGACCAACUCAACAUCUUAGACGCGAGAGGGUGUGGGACGAGUUCCCCUUCCAACGAGUAAAUUGGCAGGGCCACUAAUUAAGUUGAAAGGAACGUCUGAGUCACGCUUCCUGGCCCGCUGUCUCCCUCUUCCGGUCUCCCACUCUAUCUGCGAGGAGCCCACUUCUCCCUGGGAAAACAGUGUGGUAACACAUUUGACACUAACGCAGACGCUAAUGAUCUCAAGUUGCUCCAACCAAAUCUGAGGAGUUUUGCUGUGAUACAAAUAAAUAUGUGCUUUGGGCUGUGAUUUUUUUUUCCAGCUAAGCUAUUUGGAGUCCCACACAUUUGUUUUCUCCCCUUUUUCUCUCUAAAUCACAAGGGUUUUCAGAAAUACAGGGUGUGCAUCUUGGGAAAGCGGAUGAUGUAGGGAAUGUGGGGAACCCUAAGUCGCCCGAGUCCUGUGGAAUAGGAACGUCAUGG